CAAAUCAGAUUAUACAAAAUCAUGUAUAAUAUUCUCUCACUGGUUAGGUAGGAGCUGCACUCCUUUCUCUAGUGUUGCCAAGAUUUCCAUCACUGGAAUGUGAAGCCCUUCACCUCUCAGAAUGCCAGAGAGAAAACCUCUAUGCAUACUUCUUUUUAGCUGAAGUGUGCCAGGCCUGUCUCUAACAUAUUAUGCAUAUUUGUGAUACCAUUAAGUAGAGAGGGUUUUUAAAUAAUAAUCUGACUCAAAAGAAAAAGACAAAAUUGAAUAUAAUGAACUCCAAGGAGAUACAGGAAUUGUACAGACUGCUUAGAGUAUAAGAAACUUGCUUAAGUAUGUGAAACUUGAUUGUGAUUAGAAAAAAAAUGUAUUUAAUCCUGUUGUUCCUAGUUAUUCAACAUUUGGACGCCAUAAAAGAAAAAAUGGGCUGGGCACAGUGGCUCACACCUGUAAUCCCAGCACUUUGGGAGGUCAAGGCAGGAAAAUCACUUGAGGUCAGGAGUU
rnacentral:lncRNA from 1 species